AUUUUACAGAAAGUAUGCUGGGCUACACAGGAUAUUCUAUCAGGUUUCUUCCAGCUAUAAAAUUCUGAGACUAAAUAUCAAAUUAAAGAAAGUACUAAUUGUCAGCGAUGGGGGAUGUACUGCUAUUUGCUUCUAGUGGUACUCACUGCUCAUUUCCUAUAUUCACUGGUAUAAAAAAAUUUCAAACACCCUCAAAAAAGCCUAUACUGGUGGUACCAGGAAAACGCUGAAAAUCAUUACUUUCUGUGUGGUGUCCAGCUCUUUUGGUUACAUCAUCACUUCGACCAUUCACUUUUAAAGAAAAACUUUUGUGGAACAAAAAUAUAAAGAUUUAUUUUUUUUCUUGGUGGCUUAGCACAGUGGCCUAAUGUGGCUGACCAUGUGCACCUGUUGUGUGAGUCACUUAGACGUGCUUUGUUUCUUGGUCACAGUUGAUCCCUCAACUCAAGCAUCUCACCCUCAAAAUGUUUGUUUGGGACCCAAGAGGCAAACCUUGAGAUGGGUUAUUUCUUUCACCUUGGAUUGGCUCAUCUGCUGGGAGUGGAGCCAAGCUGACAUUUCCUUUCCUUUUUGUCUGCCUAUCACUACGUAGAGGCAGCACAUAAGAGAGGGAAAGCCAUGCGCGUGGAGUCCAGCACAUCACCCAGAAGGCAGAUGUUCUAUCUCCAUUUUACUCAUUAAAACAAACAAAACCACACCUGGAUUGCCUGGUACUUAAAUAAAAUGCACUAUGAUGAUUGAAGAAAAAUAUCUUAUAUUUAAGGAAUAGUUUUAAUAGCUUACAUCUGUAUUUCUAUUAGCUUCCGUUUCUAUUUUUAAUAUUUGUAUAAUAUUAAAAGUAAUUUUAAAAAUGAACUAAUCUUUUUACAUCUCUUAUGAG
rnacentral:lncRNA from 10 species